CACAAUACUCCUGGAGAAAAGGCAGUGUGACAGCAGCUAUAGACAGGUUCACCGAGAGACAGCUUCACCCAGCAUGCUGGAAACUCAGUGUUGUUGCUGUAGUCGGAGAGAGGCUCGGGAGCGUGCACAGGGCUAAAUCCGAUCUGGUGUCCUCACAUAAGAAGCAGAAAAGUGGCUGUUCCAAGCAACAGUGAAAACAGGCGUGAACUUCAUUUCUAAGUGACGCUACACCCCAUUGACAAUAUGGCAGCGAAAAUUUGAUAUAUCAAGAAUUAAUUUCACUGAAAAACUACAUGUAGCCCCUUUAACCAGUUACAUCUCUAAUUGGAAACAAAAAACUCAGUGUAAAAAUGACUAUUCUUCAAGAGUUUGGACAGAACCAGCUGGUGGCUAUAGCUUCAUAUUUGACAAACAUUCGAGUGGUAUAAAUCUUUUCAUCUAAAUCUAAUCAUGAAAGCAAAUAGGCAUAGUUCCCAGAAUGUUGAGCUAUUCCUUCAGUGUUUCAUUUAACACCAUCAUCACCGUUUACUAUCAUCAGAGUUCCAAGCUUGGAUGAUGUGGUGAGUCCACUGUUUCUGAAAGCCAAAAAAAAAAUCAUGUCAGCAUGAAGGAAAUCCAAGUGAGGUCCUCAAGAUCUAUGGAAAUCUGACAAGAGCGAAGCCAUGGCUAACAACAUAGCACUUUGAGGAAUUGGAAACCAGCAACCAAAAACCUCAAUGAAGCAAAAUAUGACCAAAAAAAUUCAGCUUGUGCAGGAUUCAGGCUGCAGUCCAAUGUUGUGGAUAAGGGGGCAGGGCCGAUUAAGUUAUUGUUUAGUCUACAUACCAGGUCAUGUCAAACCUAUUUAUCAGAUUGCAUUUAAAAUAUAUCAUAAAUGUUCUGAAUGUGUGUCAAAUACAAAUAAAUAAAUCAAAGCCAUCUGUCAGUGAGAUAUCUUUACCUCAUGUCUUGUUCUGUUCACUCUGUCCAUUGUGGCUUCUGCACACCAACAUAUAAACAAAGCAAUAAGUCUAUUCUUAUUCCUCUGUGAAGUAGCUGGACAGUGCUAUUAUUGUCACUUUUACUGUUGUGGUCAUAAGAAUUUAUAAAUGUUGAAUCUUU